rnacentral:lncRNA from 13 species
AUCGGGGAAAUGCUGCGGGGUUCGGGAGUCCAAAGAGGCGCAGGAGAGACUUAAUGAGUUACAAGCACCGGGUUAUCCGCAGGAAAAGCCCAGGUAAUUAGGAGAAAGUAGAAUAAUUGUUCAAGGGAUGGGGACAGGCGGAGCGUCCCGAGGUCCCGGCACAGGGACGCUCCGCAGGUGCUCAGCAUCCCCCGGGAGGGAUGGGACACUUGGGACAUUUGGGACACUUGGGACAUUUGGGACAUUUGGGACACUUGGGACAUUUGGGACACUUGGGACACUUGGGGCACUUGGGCCAGGGCCACGCCUGGAGCUCUGCGUUUCCCCAGCACCUCCUGGAGUGGAAGAUUGUGUGAAAAUCUCCCGAUUUCCCCAUUUUUCCUCUUUUCAGGGUGGCCCAGACCCCUGAAACCCCGCCUCCUUCAGCGCCAAGGGAUCAAAUUCCUCCUCCGCUGGCUCGGGGAAUCCUGUCCUGCUUCCCUGGAAAUCCCCUCGGCCUUUUCCAUGGGCUGCAGUGAGGCUGGAGCCCGGCUCGUCCCAUUAAUGAGCGAGGAAAAAAAUCACCGGGAUGGAUGCGGGAGGUUCCGGGACACGAGCAGGGCAAGGUUUGCUCUCCCAGCUCCUCCUUUUUAUUGGUGGAGGAGCUUUGGGAGAGCUGAGGACUGGGAUGCGAUGAAAAACUGGAACACGAUGCUACAGCUCAGCCGGGGAGAGGAACCUUCCCGGAAAAGCAGCAGAAUUCCCAGGAGAAGUCAACUCUUCCCGCCUCCCAGGCCCGAUUCCCGAUUGGCCUUUUCCUCCACGGAAGAUCUUCCCGCGUUGUUCCAGCACCUCCAGGGCUUCGAGGAGCUCUUCAGCAAACACAUCC